CGACAGCAAUAUGAAGGUCAGGCUGAAGACCUUACCCGAUUAGCUGAGAGGUGGUGCAUGGCCGUCGUCAGUUCGUACUGUGAAGCAUCCUGUUAAGUCAGGCAACGAGCGAGACCCACGUCCACAGUUGCCAGCAUACCCUCCGGGGUGAUGGGUACACUGUGGAGACCGCCGCUGCUAAAGCGGAGGAAGGAGUGGGCAACGGUAGGUCAGUAUGCCCCGAAUCUCCCGGGCUACACGCGGGCUACAAUGGUUGGUACAAUGGGCAUCUACCCCGAAAGGGGAAGGAAAUCUCUUAAAGCCAAUCGUAGUUCGGAUUGAGGGCUGCAACUCGCCCUCAUGAAGCUAGAAUCCGUAGUAAUCGCGUUUCAACAGAACGCGGUGAAUACGUCCCUGCUCCUU
rnacentral:rRNA from 1 species